rnacentral:rRNA from 1 species
AUGAACGCUAGCUACAGGCUUAACACAUGCAAGUCGAGGGGCAUCAGGAAGAAAGCUUGCUUUCUUUGCUGGCGACCGGCGCACGGGUGAGUAACACGUAUCCAACCUGCCCUUUACUCGGGGAUAGCCUUUCGAAAGAAAGAUUAAUACCCGAUGGGAUAAUUAUUCCGCAUGGUUUGAUUAUUAAAGGAUUCCGGUAAAGGAUGGGGAUGCGUUCCAUUAGGUUGUUGGUGAGGUCACGGCUCACCAAGCCUUCGAUGGAUAGGGGUUCUGAGAGGAAGGUCCCCCACAUUGGAACUGAGACACGGUCCAAACUCCUACGGGAGGCAGCAGUGAGGAAUAUUGGUCAAUGGGCGCUAGCCUGAACCAGCCAAGUAGCGUGAAGGAUGAAGGCUCUAUGGGUCGUAAACUUCUUUUAUAUAAGAAUAAAGUGCAGUAUGUAUACUGUUUUGUAUGUAUUAUAUGAAUAAGGAUCGGCUAACUCCGUGCCAGCAGCCGCGGUAAUACGGAGGAUCCGAGCGUUAUCCGGAUUUAUUGGGUUUAAAGGGAGCGUAGGUGGACUGGUAAGUCAGUUGUGAAAGUUUGCGGCUCAACCGUAAAAUUGCAGUUGAUACUGUCAGUCUUGAGUACAGUAGAGGUGGGCGGAAUUCGUGGUGUAGCGGUGAAAUGCUUAGAUAUCACGAAGAACUCCGAUUGCGAAGGCAGCUCACUGGACUGCAACUGACACUGAUGCUCGAAAGUGUGGGUAUCAAACAGGAUUAGAUACCCUGGUAGUCCACACAGUAAACGAUGAAUACUCGCUGUUUGCGAUAUACAGUAAGCGGCCAAGCGAAAGCAUUAAGUAUUCCACCUGGGGAGUACGCCGGCAACGGUGAAACUCAAAGGAAUUGACGGGGGCCCGCACAAGCAGUGGAGUAUGUGGUUUAAUUCGAAGCAACGCGAAGAACCUUACCAAGUCUUGACAUCCCUCUGACGGACUCUUAACCGAGUCUUUCCUUCGGGACAGGGGAGACAGGUGGUGCAUGGUUGUCGUCAGCUCGUGCCGUGAGGUGUCGGCUUAAGUGCCAUAACGAGCGCAACCCUUAUCUUUAGUUACUAACAGGUUAUGCUGAGGACUCUAGAGAGACUGCCGUCGUAAGAUGUGAGGAAGGUGGGGAUGACGUCAAAUCAGCACGGCCCUUACGUCCGGGGCUACACACGUGUUACAAUGGGGGGUACAGAAGGCAGCUAGCGGGUGACCGUAUGCUAAUCCCAAAAGCCUCUCUCAGUUCGGAUCGAAGUCUGCAACCCGACUUCGUGAAGCUGGAUUCGCUAGUAAUCGCGCAUCAGCCACGGCGCGGUGAAUACGUUCCCGGGCCUUGUACACACCGCCCGUCAAGCCAUGGGAGCCGGGGGUACCUGAAGUACGUAACCGCAAGGAUCGUCCUAGGGUAAAACUGGUGACUGGGGCU